CGGGUCAGCGGCAGACGGGUGAGUACGCGUGGGACGUACCCUUUGGUUCGGAACAACUCCGGGAAACUGGAGCUAAUACCGGAUACGCCCUUUUGGGGAAAGAUUUAUCGCCGGAGAUCGGCCCGCGUCUGAUUAGCUUGUUGGUGAGGUAACGGCUCACCAAGGCGACGAUCAGUAGCUGGUCUGAGAGGAUGAUCAGCCACACUGGGACUGAGACACGGCCCAGACUCCUACGGGAGGCAGCAGUUGGGAAUAUUGGACAAUGGGCGCAAGCCUGAUCCAGCCAUGCCGCGUGAGUGAUGAAGGCCCUAGGGUUGUAAAGCUCUUUCACCCACGACGAUAAUGACGGUAGUGGGAGAAGAAGCCCCGGCUAACUUCGUGCCAGCAGCCGCGGUAAUACGAAGGGGGCUAGCGUUGCUCGGAAUCACUGGGCGUAAAGGGCGCGUAGGCGGCCGAUCAAGUCAGGGGUGAAAGCCUGUGGCUCAACCACAGAAUUGCCUUUGAUACUGUUUGGCUCGAGACCGGAAGAGGUUGGUGGAACUGCGAGUGUAGAGGUGAAAUUCGUAGAUAUUCGCAAGAACACCAGUGGCGAAGGCGGCCAACUGGUCCGGUUCUGACGCUGAGGCGCGAAAGCGUGGGAGCAAACAGAUUCAGAUACCCUGGUAGU
rnacentral:rRNA from 1 species